rnacentral:sRNA from 1 species
UGUCUCUGGUUCCUAGGGCCUUUCUUGUCAUGGGGCUGAGAUGAACCCUCAGCUCUCAUACAGGGAGGCUCUGGGCUGGUUCUCUCUACAGAUGGCCUGUAUUUUCUCCGCACUGAGAAUGGUGUUAUCUACCAGACCUUCUGUGACAUGACCUCUGGGGGUGGCGGCUGGACCCUGGUGGCCAGCGUGCACGAGAAUGACAUGAGUGGGAAGUGCACUGUGGGCGAUCGCUGGUCCAGUCAGCAGGGCAGCAAAGCAGACUACCCAGAGGGGGACGGCAACUGGGCCAACUACAACACCUUUGGAUCUGCAGAGGCGGCCACGAGCGAUGACUACAAGAACCCUGGCUACUACGACAUCCAGGCCAAGGACCUGGGCAUCUGGCACGUGCCCAAUAAGUCCCCCAUGCAGCACUGGAGAAACAGGUCCCUGCUGAGGUACCGCACGGACACUGGCUUCCUCCAGACACUGGGACAUAAUCUGUUUGGCAUCUACCAG